rnacentral:rRNA from 1 species
CCCUUAGAUGUUCUGGGCCGCACGCGCGCUACACUGAUGCAUUCAACGAGUCUAAAACCUGCUCUGAUAGGGGUGGGUAAUCUUUUGAAUGUGCAUCGUGAUUGGGAUAGAUGAUUGCAAUUUUUCAUCUUCAACGAGGAAUGCCUAGUAAACGCAAGUCAUCAGCUUGCAUUGAUUACGUCCCUGCCCUUUGUACACACCGCCCGUCGCACCUACCGAUUGAAUGGUCCGGUGAAAUCUUGGGAUUUUGUUUUGUUUGCAUUUAUUUGUAUCGAGACGAGAGAACUUGAGUAAACCUUACCAUUUAGAGGAAGGUGAAGUCGUAACA